rnacentral:tRNA from 1 species
CCAGGGUUGGCCGAGCGGUUUAGGCAACGGACUCAUAAUCCGUCUCGAAAGAGAAGGCAGGUUCAACUCCUGCACCCUGGA